rnacentral:rRNA from 1 species
GAUGAACGCUGGCGGCGUGCCUAAUACAUGCAAGUCGAGCGAACAGACGAGGAGCUUGCUCCUCUGACGUUAGCGGCGGACGGGUGAGUAACACGUGGAUAACCUACCUAUAAGACUGGGAUAACUUCGGGAAACCGGAGCUAAUACCGGAUAAUAUAUUUAACCGCAUGGUUCAAUAGUGAAAGACGGUUUUGCUGUCACUUAUAGAUGGAUCCGCGCUGCAGUGGUUAGUUGGUAAGGUAACGGCUUACCAAGGCAACGAUGCGUAGCCGACCUGAGAGGGGGAUGGGCCACUCUGGAACUGAGACGCGAUCCAGACUCUGAGGGAAGGCAGAGGUAGGGAAGGGACCGAAAUGGGGGAAAGCCUGACGGAGUAACGCCAGGUGAGUGAUGAGGGUCUUCGGAGCGUAAGACUCUGUUAGUAGGGAAGAACAAAUGUGUAAGUAACUAUGCACGUCUUGAGGGUACCGAAUCAGAAAGCCACGGCUAACUACGU